UACGUAGGAGGCGAGCGUUGUCCGGAAUUACUGGGCGUAAAGAGCGCGUAGGCGGCACGGUACGACCGGUGUGAAAGCCCCCGGCUCAACUGGGGAGGGUCACCGGUAACGGCCGAGCUAUGAGUGCAGGAGAGGGAAGUGGAACUCCGGGAGUAGCGGUGAAAUGCGUAGAGACCCGGAGGAACACCAGUGGCGAAGGCGGCUUCCUGGUCUGCAACUGACGCUGAUGCACGAAAGCUGGGGGAGCAAACAGG
rnacentral:rRNA from 1 species